UUGUUAAUUUUAUCUACAUUUUUUAUGCCUUUGUUUUUGUCAUCAGAUAUAUUCUCCUUUCAUUUUGGCCGCAGGACCAAGUGCAGAGUGGACUCCUUCUGGAUGUUGUAGUCGGACAGGGUGCACCCAUCUUCUAGCUGUUUGCCGGCAAAGAUCAACCUCUGCUGGUCAGGGGGGAUGCCCUCUUUUUCUUGGAUCUUCCCUUUGACAUUCUCGAUGGUGUCACUGGGCUCCACCUCCAGGGUCUUACUCUUCUAGGUCCCACAAUGACUAAUAGUCAGAAUUGGCUUAUAGGAAAUGUUUAUGGAACAAAAUCGAAAUCUCUACUAUAUAGGCUGGGAGUUUCUGGGGGUGAAAAGGAAAUGGGCCUUAGUUGAUCUUACUGUGGGAUAGUUGGUUUGAAUUGGAGGAUCUCAUGGCCCUUUGAGGUUGAAUGCUAGAUGAGCCUACGCAGUAUAAGAAAUGUAUGUUUGAUUUCUGUCCCAGGUUCCUGGCACAGAGCUCCUAAAACCCUUGGAAUUUCCUGAGUUACAGGGGUGAAAGGAGCAUUUAUUGUUAUUUGUAAUAAGCUCCUUUCACCACCCAAGCUGAGUUUCUGCUAUAAUGAGGUGACUUUGGGAAGAGUCCCUCGAUAGUUUCAGGAUGGAGGUUGGUGGCAGGAAAGACCAAGCCAUGAUCAGAAGGUUGGAGCUUUCAGCCCCACUCUCUGACUCUGCCUGAGGAUGGAAGAGGGGCUG
rnacentral:lncRNA from 12 species